AUUGAACGCUGGCGGCAGGCUUAACACAUGCAAGUCGAACGAGUGGCGGACGGGUGAGUAAUACUUCGGAAUCUGGCCAGUGGCGGGGGAUAACUACGCGAAAGUGUGGCUAAUACCGCGUACCAUAGGAUGAGCCCAAGUGGGAUUAGGUAGUUGGUGGGGUAAAGGCUCACCAAGCCGACGAUCCCUAGCUGGUCUGAGAGGAUGAACAGCCACACUGGGACUGAGACACGGCCCAGACUCCGACGGGAGGCAGCAGUGGGGAAUAUUGCGCAAUGGGGGAAACCUGACGCAGCCAUGCCGCGUGAAUGAUGAAGGCCUUCGGGUUGUAAAGUACUUUCGGUAGCGAGGCGUUAACUACAGAAUAAGCACCGGCUAACUACGUGCCAGCAGCCGCGGUAAUUC
rnacentral:rRNA from 1 species